GCCAGACCGCACCAAGAGUCCGAAGCUGAGCCGAGCCGAAGUAACCGCUGAGAAAGGGAGCGUGUGUGACCAAAGGCACAGGUAGUGAAGAGUGAGUCUGUUUAAAGAUAAAGCGCAGGCCACACAUCUUCAGGGACCACUGUCACCAAGCAGACUGUGAUUAACAUAAAGCUGGACAGUGCAUGACCGCACGGGUCGGCCGGGGCUGCUGUAACAAAGCACCCCAAACGGGGUGCGGCAGAGAGGUCUCCUCUCCCAGAUCUGGAAGCUGAAGCCCACAGCCAGGGUGAUGGCAGGGUGGGCUCCUUCCGGGAGCUCACAGGGGGAACUGCUCCAGGCCCUCUCCCAGCUUUCAGGGUGUCCUUCUGGGAGCUCGCAGGGGGAACUGCUCCGGGCCCUCUCCCAGCUUUCAGGGUGUUCCAAGGCUUUAACCGCCCCACUGAGCCUCAGUCUCUGUGUGUCUGUGUCAGAGUGUCCGUCUCCCUGUAAGGACAGCGAUCCCUGUCACCAGUAUGGCCUCUUUCUAACCUGAUCACACCUGCGAAGACCCUGUCUCAGAGGGCCCAUAGUCACAGGGCCCACGGUAGGAACACACCUUGGGGGAAACUCCAUUCAAGCAGCAGUAGAACCACAACAAGGUGAAGAGGAAGCAGGGAGGAAAUGGAAGCGGCACGAGGACCCCGAUAUCCUCGUCUUCACUCGGAAGAGACAGCUGAUCUGUUCUCAAGUGGAGACGGGCAGUAUCGACGUGGGGGGUUGUACCAGAUAACAUACAACCAAGCUGGAGCUGAUAAGCCCUCUGGAAUCCUGCACCACAGGAGGUGCAGGGUGUCCAGUUUUCAAGGACUACAUCUUUUGUUUCUCUUUCACACCCAGCAGCCUGACUCUGGGAGGUUAUUUCCAGACAAAGCUGAGGGGGAGAGGGCACAGCAGCCUGCAGUUGGGCUGACCGUGUAAAGAAUGGGAAGAUGAGUCCCUUCUUUUUCUCUGGAGUGUAUUUUACGCCCUCUGAUCUAAAGUCACAUUCUCCGGCUACUCAAAGAUCCCAUCCUUGGACCGCAGAAUCUGCCGGUGGAAAGCCUGGGGCGACGCCGCCAGCUCUUGGGGCCCAGGCCCGUUCCUGAACAGGUGUUGUUACACUUGGGGCCCAGCUCCUUCCCUGCACACGCGUCGUUGCUCUGACAGACGCAGCUGCUCAGCAGUGA
rnacentral:lncRNA from 1 species